UACGGAGGAGGCAAGCGUUAUCCGGAAUUAUUGGGCGUAAGGCGUCCGCAGGUGGCACUUCAAGUCUGUCGUCAAAGACUGGGGCUUAACCCCGGAAAGGCGGUGGAAACUGAAGCGCUAGAGUGCGGUAGGGGUAGAGGGAAUUCCCGGUGUAGCGGUGAAAUGCGUAGAGAUCGGGAAGAACAUCGGUGGCGAAAGCGCUCUACUGGACCGCAACUGACACUCAGGGACGAAAGCUAGGGGAGCGAAUGGG
rnacentral:rRNA from 1 species